rnacentral:rRNA from 1 species
GAUGAACGCUGGCGGCGUGCCUAAUACAUGCAAGUCGAACGAACAGACAAUGAGAUCGCUCCCUUGACGUUAGCGAGUGACGGGCGAGUAAGACAUGGAUAACCAUCUAAUAUUACUGGGAGAACUUCGUGAAGCAGGUGAUAAUAAUGGAGAAUAUAAUCAACGGCAUGAUUCAAUAGUGAUUGACAGUUUGGCUGACUUUUAUAGCUGGUGUCGCGCCGCAUUAGCUAGUUGGUAAGGUAACGGCUAACCAAGGCAACGAUGCGUAGCCGACCUGAGAGGUUGAUCGGCCACACUGGAACUGAGACACGGUCCAGACUCCUACGGGAGGCAGCAGUGGGGAAUCUUGGGCAAUGGGCGAAAGCCUGACGGAGCAACGCCGCGUGGGUGAUGAAGGUCUUCGGAUCGUAAAACCCUGUUGUUGGGGAAGAACAGCUGUGUAUGUAACUAUGCACGUUUUGACGGUACCUAAUCAGAAAGCCACGGCUAACUACGUG